CCUACGGGUGGCUGCAGUGGGGAAUAUUGCACAAUGGGCGCAAGCCUGAUGCAGCCAUGCCGCGUGUGUGAAGAAGGCCUUCGGGUUGUAAAGCACUUUCAGCGGGGAGGAAGGCGUUAAGGUUAAUAACCUUGGCGAUUGACGUUACCCGCAGAAGAAGCACCGGCUAACUCCGUGCCAGCAGCCGCGGUAAUACGGAGGGUGCAAGCGUUAAUCGGAAUUACUGGGCGUAAAGCGCACGCAGGCGGUCUGUCAAGUCGGAUGUGAAAUCCCCGGGCUCAACCUGGGAACUGCAUUCGAAACUGGCAGGCUAGAGUCUUGUAGAGGGGGGUAGAAUUCCAGGUGUAGCGGUGAAAUGCGUAGAGAUCUGGAGGAAUACCGGUGGCGAAGGCGGCCCCCUGGACAAAGACUAACGCUCAGGUGCGAAAGCGUGGGGAGCAAACAGGAUUAGAUACCCCAGUAGUC
rnacentral:rRNA from 1 species